AGGAGGUGUGGGGAGCUGCAGUGAGCGUGCUGCUCAGGUAGUGUGGGUUAUAGGAGGUGUAGGGAGCUGCAGUGAGGGUGCUCCUCAGGAUUAUAGGAGGUGUAGGGAGCUGCAGUGAGGGUGCUCCUCAGGUAGUGUAUUAUAGGAGGUGUGGGGAGCUGCAGUGAGCGUGUUGCUCAGGUAGUGUGUGUUAUAGGAGGUGUGGGGAGCUGCAGUGAGCGUGCUGCUCAGGUAGUGUGGGUUAUAGUAGGUGUGGGAGCUGCAGUGAGCAUGCUGCUCAGGUAGUGUGUGUUAUAGGAGGUGUGGGGAGCUGCAGUGAGUGUGCUGCUCAGGUAGUGUGGGUUAUAGGAGGUGUGGGGAGCUGCAGUAAGUGUGCUGCUCAAUCAGUGUGUGUUAUAGGAGGUGUGGGGAGCUGCAGUGAGCGUGCUGCUCAGGUAGUGUGGGUUAUAGGAGGUGUGGGAGCUGCAGUGAGUGCUGCUCAGGUAGUGUGUGUUAUAGGAGGUGUGGGGAGCUGCAGUGAGCGUGCUGCUCAGGUAGUGUGAGUUAUAGGAGGUGAGGAGAGCUGCAGUGAGUGUGCUGCUCAGAUAGUGUGGGUUAUAGGAGGUGUGGGGAGCUGCAGUGAGCGUGCUGCUCAGGUAGUGUGUGUUAUAGGAGGUGUAGGGAGCUGCAGUGAACGUGCUUCUCAGGGAG